rnacentral:rRNA from 1 species
GACGAACGCUGGCGGCGUGCCUAAUACAUGCAAGUUGAGCGCUGAAGGUUGGUACUUGUACCAACUGGAUGAGCAGCGAACGGGUGAGUAACGCGUGGGGAAUCUGCCUUUGAGCGGGGGACAACAUUUGGAAACGGAUGCUAAUACCGCAUAAAAACUUUAAACACAAGUUUUAAGUUUGAAAGAUGCAAUUGCAUCACUCAAAGAUGAUCCCGCGUUGUAUUAGCUAGUUGGUGAGGUAAAGGCUCACCAAGGCGAUGAUACAUAGCCGACCUGAGAGGGUGAUCGGCCACAUUGGGACUGAGACACGGCCCAAACUCCUACGGGAGGCAGCAGUAGGGAAUCUUCGGCAAUGGACGAAAGUCUGACCGAGCAACGCCGCGUGAGUGAAGAAGGUUUUCGGAUCGUAAAACUCUGUUGGUAGAGAAGAACGUUGGUGAGAGUGGAAAGCUCAUCAAGUGACGGUAACUACCCAGAAAGGGACGGCUAACUACGUG